rnacentral:rRNA from 1 species
GCCAGAGGGUGCAAACGUUGUUCGGAAUUACUGGGCGUAAAGCGCGUGUAGGCGGCCCUGCAAGUCAGAUGUGAAAUCCCACGGCUCAACCGUGGAAGUGCAUUCGAAACUGCAGGGCUAGAGUCCUGGAGAGGAAGGUGGAAUGCUUGGUGUAGAGGUGAAAUUCGUAGAUAUCAAGCGGAACACCGGUGGCGAAGGCGGCCUUCUGGACAGUGACUGACGCUGAGACGCGAAAGCGUGGGGAGCAAACAGG